AUGAAAAGGCCAGAAUCAGAAGAAGGAAGGGUGUUUGAUUGGUUUAUUCUAUCUCGGAAAUACUGCACUGGUUUUACAAUUUCCUCAAACUCUCAAAUUGCUCGAUUUUCUUGGCUUGUCCAAAUUGAGAAAGCCCGAAAGGUGUUUGAUCAAAUGCCUGACAAAACUAUUGUGUCUUGGAACUCAAUAGUUGCAGGUUACUUCCAAAGUAAUCAACCAGGAGAAGCCCAAAAACUGUUUGAUAGAAUGCUGGAGAGCAAUAUGAUUUCUUGGAACGGUUUGAUAUCCGGUUACGUCAAGAAUGGGAUGAUUAUUGAGGCAAGGAAAGUGUUUGAUUUGAUGCCCAAAAAGAAAGUUGUAUCGUGGACUUCGAUCGUUAAAGGGUAUGAAUUCGGAGGCUAAAUCACUCUUUUGGCAGAUGCCUGAAAGGAAUGUUGUUUCAUGGACAGUGAUGUUGGGUGGCCUCUUCAAGAAGGUCGAAUUGAUGAGGCUCGUAGGCUUUAUGAUAUGAUCCCGAGAAGGAUGUGGUGACAAGGGCUAAUUCGAUUGGUGGGUAUUUUCAAGUUGGCCAUUUGGCUGAAGCACAUGAGAUUUUUAAUGAGAUGCCGCGAAGGAAUGUUGUUUCCUGGACUAUGAUGGUAUAUGGGUAUGUGCAUAACUGAUAUGUGGAUGUUGCUAGAAAGCUUUUCGAAAUGAUGCUGGAGAAAAAUGAGGUUUCAUGGACGGCAAUGCCAAUAGGUUACACUUAGCGUGGGCGGAUUGAAGAGGCUUCAGAGCUUUUUCAUGCCAUGCCGGUUAAAUCAGUUCUUGCUUGUAAUGCAAUAGUACUUGGGUAUGGCCAAAAUGGAGAGGUACCUAAAGCAAGGGAAGUUUUUGAUAUUAUGAGAGAGAGGGAUGAUGGGACAUGGAGUGCGAUGAUUAAAGUUUAUGAACAGAAGGGUUUUGAAUUGGAAGCACUUGACUUGCUUACUUUGAUGCAACGAGAAGGUGGUAGGCCAAAUUUCCCUUCUUUGAUAAGCAUUCUAUCUGUUUGUGGCCGCUUGGCGAGCCUUCUUUAUGGUAGACAAAUUCAUGCCUAGUUGGUGAGAAACCAAUUUGACCUUAAUGUAUAUGUUGCCUCGGUUUUGAUGACAAUGUAUGUUAAAUGUGGUGACCUUGUGAAGGCAAACCGGGUGUUUAACAAGUUUGCUGCGAAGGAUAUAGUUAUGUGGAACUCAAUGAUCACCGGUUAUGCCCAUCAUCGUUUAGGAGAGAGCACGUUACCAGUUUUCUAAGAGAUGUGCUCCUUGGGCACAUCACCAGAUGAGAUCACCUUUAUUGGAGUUCUUUCAGCGUGUAGCUAUAGUGGGAAGGUAGGAAAAGGUCUUGAAAAUGUUGAGAUAAUGAAAUCAAGGUACCAGGUGGAGCCAAGAACUGAACAUUAUGCUUGUAUGGUUGAUCUGCUUGGUCAAGAAGGAAAGGUAAAGGAGGCAAUGGAUUUAAUUAAGAAAAUGUCAAUUGAAGCAGAUGCAAUUGUAUUGCAUGAUGUGGAUGAAGAAGAAAAGGCACACAGCUUGAGUUAUCAUAGUGAGAAAAUGGCCAUUGCAUAUGGACUCUUGAAGGUGCCAUAGGGGAUGCCCAUUUGGGUGAUGAAGAAACUUUGAGUUUGUGGGGAUUGCCAUUCUGUAAUUAAAUUAAUAUCCAAAGUGAUGGGAAGAGAGAUCAUAUUGAGGGAUGCUAACAGAUUUAAUCAUUUUAAGGAUGGCUUGUGUUCUUGCAGAGACUGUUGGUGAUUGCAAACCUUGUGUUAUGGGGAUCGAUCCUAGGAAAGACUGGUUUUGAGACAGGAAUCAUGCCUAGCAGAGUUAAUUGGUCAAAUUUGUUUUUAGACUGAA